rnacentral:rRNA from 1 species
AGGGUGUAAACGCUGCGGGCUUGGUGUUGGGGGUCCUUUGAGGGCGCCCAGUGCCGGAGAGAAGUUGUUAAGCCUGCUGCUUGGGGAGUACGUCCGCAAGGAUGAAACUUAAAGGAAUUGGCGGGGAGCACAACAACGGGUGGAGCUUGCGGUUUAAUUGGACUCAACGCCGGGAAGCUUACCGGAUAAGACAGCGGAAUGAUUGCCGGGCUGAAGACUCUGCAUGACCAGCUGAGAGGUGGUGCAUGGCGUAG